AGCGAACGUUUGCGGCGGGCCUAACACAUGCAAGUCGAACGCACUAGCAAUAGUGAGUGGCGCACGGGUGCGUAACACGUGGGUAAUCAACCCUUCAGCUUGGGAUAACGACUUGAAAGGGUCGCUAAUACCGGAUACGGCGAGAGAGGCUUCGGCAUUUCUCGAGAAAGCCUCGCAAGGGGCACUGAAGGACGAGCCUGCGGCCCAUCAGCUAGUUGGUGAGGUAAGAGCUCACCAAGGCGAAGACGGGUAGCUGGUCUGAGAGGAUGAUCAGCCACACUGGAACUGAGACACGGUCCAGACUCCUACGGAGGCAGCAGUGGGGAAUAUUGCGCAAUGGGCGAAAGCCUGACGCAGCCACGCCGCGUGAGCGAUGAAGGCC
rnacentral:rRNA from 1 species